rnacentral:sRNA from 1 species
AAGAUCUCGCGAAGCCCGUCUUCAUGGUCGAAUCCGCCAA